rnacentral:lncRNA from 1 species
AAAGAUUAAUCAAGAACUGCAGGAAGAAGGCAGAACAGGAACUGAAUUGCUAGUCAAAGUCUGAUCAGAAAACCAAGAAAUAUUUUAAUAUUUUCAUUACUGGGAAUAUUACUAUAAUUCAUUAUUUUAUAAUUUCAUGUAAAUUCAAGGUCAAAUAUGUUAGUAUUUGUACCCAGAUGUAAUUUUCUUACUUAAUUCACAAUGCAUGAGUUAGAAGCAUUUUGAGUUUCUUUUUUGUUUCCGUUGAUAGUGAUAGUUUUCUCUUACUUGUCUAAACUUCCAUCUCAGGAUUAUAACUACAGUUGAGGAAUUUGAGAUGGAUAAAAUAGUUCUUGGUCCAAGUUAAACUGACAAACUCUCCGUAGCUCAGUUGCAUUAGCUGUAAAACUGAAAUUAUUGUAUGAAAUAAUAAUUGGCAUAUGGAAGUGCCUUAUAAGUUAUUGUUAGGUAAAUUGUAUUCUAACCAAAUGAGCUAAUCACAUAUAAAGCUUGUAUACCUCUACAUUUUAAAUGCAGUGACUUUUACAUAUUUUAAUUAAUUAAAUAGUAGUUUCUUACCUUUUACAACAUUCAAAGGAAAGCUAUAUUUAUUAGCAGAUCAAAAUAGGCUUCAGAUAUGUUACUGUUUUGGGAAGGCAUUUAAUAUACUGAAAUAAUGACAGUUCAUUUCAUUAUAUGACCACAGAUUGGUAAGGUUACAUAGUUAUAACUGAAUCAUGCAAAAGAUCUCAUUUCUAAAAUUUUCAGAGGAAUGCCUAUAACUAAAAUAAAAAAUAAAUCUUUUGAAAAUAUAAAGUAGAUUGUGUCCCUCCUCUAAAAGCUGUUUGCAAGACCUUGCUUUCUAUUAUUUUAAAAUCUUCCUAAAAGGCUUUUUCCAUUGGUUAGCUUGUUUUACCAUAUUAUCCCAUUUGUCCUUAUGAUUUGUAAUUAGCAUACAAAGAAGAAAGGGAGAGAUAAGGGUUUGUGUCAGUAAGAAUAGCUAAAUUAUACAAAAAAACUUUAUGAAAAGCAGUUAAAGAAUUUAAAUUCAUAUUUCUGAAAGCUAAUUUAUUUUCUAAUUACUCUUAAUGGGGUAACGCAGAGGAAAUUCUCAAUCAUAAUUUUUAUUAAGAAGCUCAAUGAGGUCAAAAGCUAAAAGCUGCAGAAUUAUCACUGUUUAACACUACAUUCUUCAGAGUUUUUAAAUAAU